GGGAAGACAGGGACUAUGUACACACUGGGAAACGAGCAACAGGUGAGGCAAACGAGCAACAGGUGAAACUCAUGGGUGAUUAACGAAGGAGGGAAGACUAGGGAAGUAAAACCAGACUAGAAACACAAAGAUUAACGACUACAAAAUGAGAUGGGAAACACUGAAAACGAAUCUACAGAAUAAAACACUAAGAACGGGAGAGAAACAGGGUCAAACACAAACUGAAAACUUAGGAGAUUGGACUUUAAGGGAACAGGAACAAUGGAGGCCAGAAACACGAGGGUUAAUACACCAAGAAGAUACACUUAAAUGACAAAACCAGGGAAAGACUAAAUCAUAAGAACAUAUCACAACAAUGGACAGAACGAUAGAACAAACGAUAGAAUGAUAAAACGAUAGAUAGAUAGAUCUUAGUGAUUAAUUACAGGGUGUCCAUCAGAUAUCAAGUGCUUAUACCCAUCUUGGACACACUCCUGUCCCUCCUCUCCCACUGAGUCCCAGCUUUUCCAAACAAAAGAAAACACUAACUCCCACACUUUCCAACCCCUCACAUCCUGACCACCUUAACCAGGAAGACCAGUGUCUACCAUUAAAAUGCUCGUCCUUUAAUUAUCCAUCUGCUCCAUCCACCUCCUCCCCCCUGCCUCUUAAAGUGUAAAUACCUUUUGUGUAAUUUACCCUGAAGUUCUCUCUCACUGAUUAGCCCCCUCUGAUUCCUCCCCCCGUCUUGCCGAAACAAACUCCUGCUCCAGGUCUCCCCCUGUUACACUAUAGAUUCCCUGUCGACUCACUAUGGAAAAGAUCGAACUCUAAUUAAGAUUGUUAAUGAAGAUUUAAUUUUCCACUUCAAAUGAGCCGCUGAACUCUUGGAGCGUCCCGAGCAAAAUGCAGGAGUGAGGAGAAAGAAGGGAAGAAGAAAAGAAGAAAAAGAAGAGGUCUGGACUAGAAAAUUAGCACAAAGGGAGUUAAAAGUUUCUUGUACAAGGUUGUUAGACAUUUAACUACCCAGCAGGAUGCUGUCACAUCUGUAGGCUAAAGUUACACCAGCCAUUAGCAAUACUUUCCUCCUGCCAUGUCAGCAUAUAAAACAGCUCAGAUCCAAAAUAUGAUGGUUCGGGUAAUAUUGAGGGUCAGUUUAGUCUGUUCAGGACUCUGUGGACUUUAGAUAAGACUUAUGGAAUAAAGUGUGCCACAGACAGAGCAUAAACAAGCAGCAUAUGGUUAGUAUGUUACGACCCUGACCUUUAUUUCAGUUAUUUCCUCUUGUUUCCCGGUGUUUUCCCCUUCCCCCAGUGUCUGUGUGAUAGCAGGUGUGGCCCAUCUUCUCCUGUACCGCCCACCUCUUCCUGGUCCACCUCCACCUCCACAUGGUUCCACAGCUGCCUCUCAUCUACAAUUAAGCACAGUCUAAAAGAACCCCUGGCUUUUCCUCCACCAGCUGCCAGAUUAUCUGCUAACCAAUGUGGUAUUUUGCUGGCUACAAAUCUUUUAGGUGUUUCUGUCAAUUUGGAAAGAUUUUUUGAGUGCUUUUUCUUUUCAGACAUUUGUAUAAUCAGUUUUGUUCUCCUUUGUUCCAGUUUUCUGCCUGCCCGCCUGCGCUCACACUUGGACCAUCCCCUUCAUCUGUC
rnacentral:lncRNA from 1 species